rnacentral:tRNA from 1 species
AGAGGUAUGGUAAAACGGUUUAAUGCAACAGUCUUGAAAACUGUCGUGAACUGACAGGCUACCGUGAGUUCGAACUUCACUACUUCUGCCA